rnacentral:lncRNA from 1 species
AUGGAGGAUGGGCCAUGCCCCAGGUGUCCCAGCAUGGCUGGCCUCCACAGCUCCUUGGCCUCAGCAGUGCAGCUGCGUGGGGGCCCUGUGAGGUUGCUUGGCCUCCUGCAUGUGCCUGAAUCAUGCAAGAACAGCAAGUGGCUAAUGAGGGUCUGUCAGCCACCCCGUGGUGGUGGCCAUGUCCUGGGAACUGAGUGCAGUUUAGGAUUUGGGCCUGCGCGAGUCCUGGAGCAGGAAGCCCUCAUGGUGUACGCGGUCAGGAUCCACCAGUGUUUAGUUUCUCUUGUAGAGGUGAUGUGAAACUUAGAAACUAAUUAAUGCCAGUCACCAGUGCUCCUCCUUGGUAUUCAGUGUAGACUUCAGGAAGUACCCACCAGCUCUUGGUAAUUCUGUCCCUGGUAAGUUAUCACAACCAUUUGACACAAGCUUUCCAACAUCUCCCACUCCCUUUACUAUCGUAGGAUGUGAUUUAUCAUUGCAGUCCAGGUGAUCCGACAACUUUUAAGAGUACUAAUUGCCUUAUUAUCCACUCCGGUGCAAGAGUAAAACCUUUUGACAUUUUACUUCCUUCCCUGAGGAAAACAAAUCCUGCUUCCUGGGACAUUACCUUCUGCUGCCUCUGUGAUUACUGGGGCGAAGAAUUUCUCUAGGCCAUUUGCCUUAUCAGCCUCAUCUGUCACCAACUUGCCAGUCCCUGCUCUCAGUGCUCCCUCAGUGCUUUGCAUCCUCCAUUAUUUCAUGUAUUUCUGUAUUUUUUUCCUUUUCUUUUUUAUUUGUCAUGUCAAUGUUCAUCACAUAUUCCAUUCCUUUUUUUCUAUCAAUGUGCUUUUUCACAUCAGGCUCUGU